UGGAGCAUCCUUGACAGCUUGACAGCAGGCAACGGAAUCCCAAAAGCAGCUGUUGUCUCCAGAGCAUUCCAGCUGCAGUUGGAUUUCGUUCCCUGCUAUCCUGCAAGAGCACCA